rnacentral:rRNA from 1 species
AUUGAUUUUAUGCUUGCAUAAAUGAUUUUUGGAUUCGGAGCGAGUGGCGAACUGGUGAGUAACACGUGGGUAACCUGCCCCGAAGCGGGGGAUAACAUUUGGAAACAAGUGCUAAUACCGCAUAAUUAGUUGGAACCGCAUGGUUCCAACUUGAAAGAUGGCUCUGCUAUCACUUUGGGAUGGACCCGCGCCGUAUUAGUUAGUUGGUGAGAUAAAAGCCCACCAAGACGAUGAUACGUAGCCGACCUGAGAGGGUAAUCGGCCACAUUGGGACUGAGACACGGCCCAGACUCCUACGGGAGGCGGCAGUAGGGAAUCUUCCACAAUGGACGAAAGUCUGAUGGAGCAACGCCGCGUGAGUGAUGAAGGUUUUCGGAUCGUAAAACUCUGUUGUUAAAGAAGAACAAGUGUUAGAGUAACUGUUAACACUUUGACGGUAUUUAACCAGAAAGCCACGGCUAACUACGUGCCAGCAGCCGCGGUAAUACGUAGGUGGCAAGCGUUGUCCGGAUUUAUUGGGCGUAAAGCGAGCGCAGGCGGUUUUGUAAGUCUGCUGUGAAAGCCCUCAGCUCAACUGAGGAAGUGCAGUGGAAACUACAAAACUUGAGUACAGAAGAGGAAAGUGGAACUCCAUGUGUAGCGGUGAAAUGCGUAGAUAUAUGGAAGAACACCAGUGGCGAAGGCGGCUUUCUGGCCUGUUACUGACGCUGAGGCUCGAAAGCAUGGGUAGCGAACAGGAUUAGAUACCCUGGUAGUCCAUGCCGUAAACGAUGAAUACUAGGUGUUGGAGGGUUUCCGCCCUUCAGUGCCGCAGCUAACGCAUUAAGUAUUCCGCCUGGGGAGUACGACCGCAAGGUUGAAACUCAAAGGAAUUGACGGGGGCCCGCACAAGUGGUGGAGCAUGUGGUUUAAUUCGAUGCUACGCGAAGAACCUUACCAGCUCUUGACAUCUUCUGCCAACCCGAGAGAUUGGGCGUUCCCUUCGGGGACAGAAUGACAGGUGGUGCAUGGUUGUCGUCAGCUCGUGUCGUGAGAUGUUGGGUUAAGUCCCGCAACGAGCGCAACCCUUAUUAUUAGUUGCCAGCAUUUAGUUGGGCACUCUAAUGAGACUGCCGGUGAUAAA